rnacentral:rRNA from 1 species
GACGAACGCUGGCGGCGUGCUUAACACAUGCAAGUCGAGCGGUAAGGCCCUUUCGGGGGUACACGAGUGGCGAACGGGUGAGUAACACGUGGGUGACCUGCCCUUAGCUCUGGGAUAAGCCUGGGAAACUGGGUCUAAUACCGGAUAUGACUCCAUGACGCAUGUUGUGGGGUGGAAAGCCUUGUGCGGCUAGGGAUGGGCCCGCGGCCUAUCAGCUUGUUGGUGGGGUGAUGGCCACCAAGGCGACGACGGGUAGCCGGCCUGAGAGGGCGACCGGCCACACUGGGGACUGAGACACGGCCCAGACUCCUACGGGAGGCAGCAGUGGGGAAUCUUGCGCAAUGGGCGAAAGCCUGACGCAGCGACGCCGCGUGA